rnacentral:rRNA from 1 species
CCCUUAGAUGUUCUGGGCGGCCCGCGCACUACAAUGGCGUGUGCAGCGAGUGCCGAAGUAGAGUUUUCCGAGGUAUUCUUGCAAUGCUCGUUUUGAUGGGGAUAGACCCUUGCAACUGUUGGUUUUAAACGAGGAAUUCCUUGUAAGCAUGGUUUAUCAUCCGACGCUGAAUGCGUCCCUGCCCUUUGUACACACCGCCCGUCGCUCCUACCGAUGAGUCGUCCGGUGAAGUUCGUAGACCUCGUGAUCGCGGAUCACUGGGGGAAGCAAAAUGAACCUCGCGGUUUAGAGGAAGGAGAAGUCGUAACA